GCGGGUUGGGCGAGCGGCGCAGCUUGCCGGUGGUGACGGCCCGGAACGGGAUGCCGUUACGCUCGGCGAUCUUGGCCUCGAGCCCGUC
rnacentral:tRNA from 1 species